CCCUUAGAUGUUCUGGGCCGCACGCGUGCUACACUGAGUAAUUCAAUGGGUAAGGGAACGCUAGAGCAUUACCUAAUCUUGAAAUUUGCUCGUGAUGGGGAUCGACGGUUGCAAUUUUCCGUCUUGAACGAGGAAUACCUUGUAGGCGCAUGUCAUCAUCAUGCGCCGAAUACGUCCCUGCCCUUUGUACACACCGCCCGUCGCUCCUACCGAUUGAGUGAUCCGGUGAGGCUCUGGGACCUGGACGGAAAGAGCGUUUCGCUUGUUCUGUUUGGGAAACUUGGUCGAACCUUAUCAUUUAGAGGAAGGAGAAGUCGUAACA
rnacentral:rRNA from 1 species